CCAGAGUGCCAAGAUCUGAUCAGGCAGUGUUUAUCCAUGCUGGACUUGGAAAGGCCUUCAUUAGAAGAGCUGCUCUGUCAUCCUUGGAUGCAGGAUAUUCAUCUGCCCUAGAAGAAGGGAGAGAGCCACAGGCACACUGUGAUGCAGGGCCCUGCUGGGGCCUUGGGCAGAACCUGAGAGCCUGGUCUCACCCCAGGGAAGGAGAAAGAGACCCUGGAGAAGCUGUACCAGGUGGGACUGCUGCUGCUGGAGACAUCAAGGAUGACAAUCUCUUCCUGGACCUGACCACAGGCCAGCUGAAGAUGAUGGACUUUGAUUGUGGCACCUUCUCCAAAGCCAGGCUCCACAGCAAAUUUACAGAUGAGUCCACACCCAGGGGGAUGCUCCCAGAUUUGGCCAUUGCACAGCCUGGCUGGGAACCAAAGGUUCCCCCUUUGCUGGGGCAGAUGCAGCUGAUCCUUCAGUCGGCUGCCCAGCUGGUUUUGGCAGGGCUGGGGGGAUGGGCUGGGCUGGGUAUGAAAUGGGAGUGGGCUCCUGGCCCUGCCAACAGCCCCCAGCCCCCACCGUGCCCCGGGCUGGGGCUGGGGCAGCCAGCCCGACACAAACAAACCCCAUGGUGGGAGCAGAGGUGGGACUCCAGAACCUGUGCUGAGGCUGCUUUGCUGUGCAGGCAAGGAAGGGCUUGGGCUGCUCCACUGCCCUUGUUUGCUUUGGGAUCAGCGUUAUUGUGGGGGGCAGUGCAGUGGGGAAGGGAGAAAGCCUGGGCUUCCCUUCCCCGUGUGUGGGUUUUUCCUUGCAUGCAGGGAUUGGGCCUUCCUCAAGGCCCUGGCAGAGAUAAGAUUUUUUUACCUUUUUUCUUGUUUCCCCUUUUUGUCUGUAAUCUAUUUUCAAUAAUUUGUUGUUUGUUUUUCUAGAUGAAGCCUUAUAGUUUGGGUCCAGUCUGGAUCAGGAAGUGCUUGGGACCAGCUGCAGUGUGGAUGGGUCUGCCCUUGGAGAAGGCUGAGGACAUCGUUUGGGACCAGCUUUUCUUCCAGCAGGGGAGGGCGUGAGCCGGGCUCUGCAGGUGCUGAGGCUGCUCUGGGCUCUGCCAGGGCUCUGCUGGAGCUCAGCACCAGGCUGGAAUCAGCCAAAGAAGAAAUGGUGUGACCUGCAGCACAGACUUGCUUGAGCAUUUUGGCAGCACAGCUCAAGUUUGCAGAGUGUACACCUCCAAGGGAAAACUGGACACCCCCCAAAAAAUAAAUUUGUUCAAUAA